rnacentral:rRNA from 1 species
GACGAACCGUGCGAACGUUAUUCGGAAUCACUGGGCUUAAAGGGUGCGUAGGCGGGCUCGCCAGUCAGGGGUGAAAUCCCACGGCCCAACCGUGGAAGUGCCUCUGAUACUGCGGGCCUCGAGGGGGAUAGGGGCGUGCGGAACUUCCGGUGGAGCGGUGAAAUGCGUAGAUAUCGGAAGGAACACCGGUGGCGAAAGCGGCGCGCUGGAUCCCUACUGACGCCGAGGCACGAAAGCCAGGGGAGCAAACGGG